GUGGGUACAGUCUUGUUAGUUUUAAGUUGCUCUAAGGAUAAUAGCAUUGUUUAGGUAGAGGGGAAUUGUACGUUAGCACUAGGGGUCGUGAGGUGCAGUCUUGUUAGUUUUAAGUUGCUCUUAGGAUAAUAGCAUUGUUCAGGUGGAGGGGAACUGUACUUAUUGGUACGAUCAUGUAAUGAUUUCGUUGAUGGAUGCAACCGUCAACUGCGGAUAUAUAUUAGUAGAUGUUAAAUAAAUAUAAUGGUGGUCUAUGUUAUGACACCUUGGAUCUGACGAUCUGAUAUUUACUUCUGAAUUUACUAGCAAGAUGCCCGUGCGUUGCUACAAUAAAACGACGUUGCUUAGUGCACGAUGUGUUCUAUCGUGUCGUGUAGCACAACAUAUUUUUUAUCAUGUUGUGUAACUUUUUUAUC
rnacentral:lncRNA from 1 species